CUAAGGUGUUGCUAUGGUAUCUGGGGUGGUUGCUAAGGUGUUUCUAAGUGGUUGCUAGGUGGUUGCUAAGGUGUUGCUAUGGUAUCCAGGGUGGUUGCUAAGAUGUUGCUAGGUGGUUGCUAAGGUGUUGCUAUGGUAUCUGGGGUGGUUGCUACGGUGUUGCUAGGUGGUUGCUAAGGUGUUGCUAUGGUAUCCGGGGUGGUUGCUAAGGUGUUGCUAGGUGGUUGCUAGGUGGUUGCUAAGGUGUUGCUAGGUGGUUGCUAAGGUGUUGCUAUGGUAUCUUGGGUGGUUGCUAAGGUGUUGCUAGGUGGUUGCUAGGUGGUUGCUAAGUGGUUGCUAGGUGGUUGCUAAGGUAUUGCUAGGUGGUUGCUAAGGUGUUGCUAUGGUAACCGGGGUGGUUGCUAGGUGGUUGCUAAGGUGUUGCUAUGGUAUCUGGGGUGGUUGCUAAGGUGUUGCUAGGUGGUUGUUAGGCAGUUGCUAUUAUUUCUAAAGUGGUUGCUAAGUGGUUGCUAGGCAGUUGCUAACGUUUUCCUAAUGGUUGCUAAGGUGUUGGUAAGUGGUUGCUAGGCUGUUGCUAUCAUUUCUAAAGUGGUUGCUAGGCAGUUGCUAUCGUUUCUAAGGUGGUUGCUAAGUGGUUGCUAACGUUUUCCUAGUGGUUGUUAAGGUGUUGCUAAGUGGUUGCUAGGCAGUUGCUAACGUUUUCCAGGUGUUUGCUAAGUGGUUGCUAACUGGUUGCUAGGCAGUUGCUAUAA